AUUGAACGCUGGCGGAAUGCUUUACACAUGCAAGUCGAACGGCAGCACGGGGCAACCUGGUGGCGAGUGGCGAACGGGUGAGUAAUACAUCGGAACGUGCCCAAUCGUGGGGGAUAACGUAGCGAAAGUUACGCUAAUACCGCAUACGAUCUACGGAUGAAAGCGGGGGAUCGCAAGACCUCGCGCGAAUGGAGCGGCCGAUGUCAGAUUAGGUAGUUGGUGGGGUAAAGGCUCACCAAGCCAACGAUCUGUAGCUGGUCUGAGAGGACGACCAGCCACACUGGAACUGAGACACGGUCCAGACUCCUACGGGAGGCAGCAGUGGGGAAUUUUUGGACAAUGGGCGCAAGCCUGAUCCAGCCAUUCCGCGUGCAGGAUGAAGGCCUUCGGUUGU
rnacentral:rRNA from 1 species